rnacentral:rRNA from 1 species
GACGAACCAUCCAAACGUUAUUCGGAAUCACUGGGCUUAAAGGGUGCGUAGGCGGCCCGGUAAGUUGGGUGUGAAAUACCUCAGCCUAACUGAGGAAUUGCGCCCAAAACUGUCGGGCUCGAGGAAGACAUAGGUGAGCGGAACUUAGGGUGGAGCGGUGAAAUGCGUUGAUAUCCUAAGGAACACCAGUAGCGAAAGCGGCUCACUGGGUCUUAUCUGACGCUGAUGCACGAAAGCUAGGGGAGCGAACGGG